rnacentral:rRNA from 1 species
GACCGGGUGAGUACACGUGACUAACCUACCUUCGAGUGGGGGAUACCUCGGGAAACCGAGGCUAAUACCGCAUAACAUCGCAAGAUCAAAGCAGCAAUGCGCUGGAAGAGGGGGUCGCGGCUGAUUAGCUAGUUGGCGGGGUAAUGGCCCACCAAGGCGAAGAUCGGUAUCCGGCCUGAGAGGGCGCACGGACACACUGGAACUGAAACACGGUCCAGACUCCUACGGGAGGCAGCAGUGGGGAAUUUUUGCGCAAUGGGGGAAACCCUGACGCAGAAGCCGCGUGGAAGAUGAAGUCCUUCGGGACCG